CUGCAGUCUGGGGAGGUUCCCGGAGGUGAGUCUGACCCAGUCCCAAGAGUGGCCCCUGCAGGGGAAGAGGAAGUCUCAUCCCUCUGCAGCCUGUCCAGACUAGCAUCUGGAGACGAGCACACGGUCUAUGGUGGCUUUUCUUCAAAAGGAUGCUGUGACAGAUAUGGCAAGUUCCCGCAACAUCCUGGCAAACCUUAUUGAAUUAAGUUUAAGUAUUUUAGGAGUUCAUUGCAUUAAAAAUACAAAUAUUACUGUGGACCGUAUAUAACUUCUUUAAGAGCCAUGACUAAUGUAAAUCUUAGGAAAUCUUACAAACUUCAAAGGAGUCUUUGAAACAAUGUGCUAGCUAGAUAAACAAAGGACCAGACCAGAGACCCAAAGUGGAUAAAAGAGUGACUCACAGAUUCAUGGGUGUGUUUGUUCUGAGCUAACAGCUGUUAUGAAUUUAUGAUUACAGAAAAACCCCCUUGGUGAUGGAUUUUAAUGUUCACAGGCCAGA